UGCAAGUCGAGCGGACAGAUGGGAGCUUGCUCCCUGAUGUUAGCGGCGGACGGGUGAGUAACACGUGGGUAACCUGCCUGUAAGACUGGGAUAACUCCGGGAAACCGGGGCUAAUACCGGAUGGUUGUUUGAACCGCAUGGUUCAAACAUAAAAGGUGGCUUCGGCUACCACUUACAGAUGGACCCGCGGCGCAUUAGCUAGUUGGUGAGGUAACGGCUCACCAAGGCAACGAUGCGUAGCCGACCUGAGAGGGUGAUCGGCCACACUGGGACUGAGACACGGCCCAGACUCCUACGGGAGGCAGCAGUAGGGAAUCUUCCGCAAUGGACGAAAGUCUGACGGAGCAACGCCGCGUGAGUGAUGAAGGUUUUCGGAUCGUAAAGCUCUGUUGUUAGGGAAGAACAAGUACCGUUCGAAUAGGGCGGUACCUUGACGGUACCUAACCAGAAAGCCACGGCUAACUACGUGCCAGCAGCCGCGGUAAUACGUAGGUGGCAAGCGUUGUCCGGAAUUAUUGGGCGUAAAGGGCUCGCAGGCGGUUUCUUAAGUCUGAUGUGAAAGCCCCCGGCUCAACCGGGGAGGGUCAUUGGAAACUGGGGAACUUGAGUGCAGAAGAGGAGAGUGGAAUUCCACGUGUAGCGGUGAAAUGCGUAGAGAUGUGGAGGAACACCAGUGGCGAAGGCGACUCUCUGGUCUGUAACUGACGCUGAGGAGCGAAAGCGUGGGGAGCGAACAGGAUUAGAUACCCUGGUAGUCCACGCCGUAAACGAUGAGUGCUAAGUGUUAGGGGGUUUCCGCCCCUUAGUGCUGCAGCUAAC
rnacentral:rRNA from 2 species